GACGAACGCUGGCGGCGUGCUUAAUACAUGCAAGUCGAACGGAAAGGCCCUGCUUUUGUGGGGUGCUCGAGUGGCGAACGGGUGAGUAACACGUGAGUAACCUGCCCUUGACUUUGGGAUAACUUCAGGAAACUGGGGCUAAUAUCGGAUAGGAGCUCUUGCUGCAUGGUGGGGGUUGGUAAGAUUCGGCGGUUGGGGCUGGACUCGCGGCUUAUCAGCUUGUUGGUUGGGUAGUGGCUUACCAAGGUUUUGACGGGUAGCCGGCCUGAGCGGGCGGCCGGCGACAUGAGGACUGAGGUAGGGCCCAGACGGCUACGGGAGGCAGCGGUGGAGAGUUUUGCACAAUGGGCGGGAGCCAGAGGCAACAACGCCGCGUGCGGAAUGACGGCCUUCGGGUUAUAAACCGCUUUCGCCGGUAACGUAGCGUGAGUGACGGUAAUGAGUAAGAAAGCACCGGCUAACUACGUG
rnacentral:rRNA from 1 species